rnacentral:rRNA from 1 species
UACGUAGGGCGCAAGCGUUGUCCGGAUUUAUUGGGCGUAAAGAGCUCGUAGGCGGUGUGUCGCGUCGGUCGUGAAAACUUGGGGCUUAACCCUGAGCUUGCGGUCGAUACGGGCAUCACUGGAGUUCGGCAGGGGAGACUGGAAUUCCUGGUGUAGCGGUGAAAUGCGCAGAUAUCAGGAGGAACACCAAUUGCGAAGGCAGCUCGCUGGGACGUAACUGACGCUGAGACGCGAAAGCGUGGGGAGCAAACAGG